CUCAAAAACCCGUUUAAUUCCCCCCUGCAAUUUAGGGUUAUGAUUUAGGAUACAAACAGUGGCCGUGAUGGAGUUUUGGUAAUGAUGCUUUAACCCAACAAGGGGAAGGUCUUCUCCGUCAGUUUCAGUAGGUGUACACUGAUCCACCGUUCUUUGUGUUCUAAAACAGAGAUGCCAAAACCGCUACAAUCCAGAUUGACAUGAACGUGUCACAACUUCCUUUUGUUUCUCAUUAUUUUGCCUAGGUUUCUUCUAUUUCUCGCUAUUUUGCCUACUUGUCUUCUACACAAGUUGUUCAUAUAACUUCCCAAACGAGUAAAAAACUGCAUAUCAGUUCCAACAAUUAGUUACCCUCUAAUUAUUCUUUCUCUUCCGGCCAUGAAGAAGAGACAUGUUUCACCAUCUAACUAAUUCGUCUUUAUGUCUGUGUUUCGAGAGUUCAAUGGAUUUUGUUUUAAUUUCAUCUCAUUUAUUCUAACUGUUUUCUUUCUACAGAAAAUUGAAAGAAACAACGUUAUUUUUGCAAGGGAUUCCUUUUUGCAAUGAAUCAAAUUUUUCCAGGGAGGUACUAUAACAAAUUCGUGUUUUGUUUUCUUUACAGAUUUAUUUUGGGCGUUAAUUGUUUGAAGACUUCAUGCAAAUAUAAGAGAGGAAGAACCAAUUAAUGGGCGCGGAUGCUGGUAGUGGUAGGUGGGCGGUAGAAGUGGAAGCUUUGCACUGUGGACGAAUUUAUGAGAAUUGAUGCACCUCUUUUUCAAAUGAUCUAUACUCUUUUGAGAGAUCGCUGAAUUUUCCAUACAUUGCCCUACUUUUCCGAAAAAUUGUUGGCAGGAACUAUUUUAUUCUAUCGUUAAUUAAACUUAUGGAGUUGUGUUUUCGAGUCUGAGUUGUUCUAUGUUAACUAUACUCAUCAUAAGUUCUCAUGCUUACUGGUCAUGUUACUGACUAUUUCAAUAUCCUUCAUGCCCGACUAUUUCAAUAUCCUUCAUGCCUGUCACUUGCUCGAGAAAUUAGUCACCCUCUGGAAAGACAUUCAUCGGGUGCAGAAGGUAAUGUUGAAGAGUAUGUGAAUAGGCUGUUGGCAGUUUAGUUGUGCUUCACUUCACGACUGUGAAGAAAUCGUAAAGUAAGCGCAACCUGAACCGGAUAUAAAGGAACGAUAUUAGACAAGAGGUUCCACUGUAAAAAUCAAUUCUAUUAAAUAUUCAAUUGCAAAGAACGACACAAGAUGCUGGGUGUAAAGUCAAAUGCAUCCAAUUUUUGGAAUGAGAAACUUUGCAGCAAACAGAAAGUGUGCUAAUGGAAGGGUCAACAAAGGUAGAU